rnacentral:rRNA from 1 species
AUUGAACGCUGGCGGCAGGCCUAACACAUGCAAGUCGAACGAGUGGCGGACGGGUGAGUAAUGUCUGGGAAACUGCCUGAUGGAGGGGGAUAACUACUGGAAACGGUAGCUAAUACAGCAUAACAUCAGAUGUGCCCAGAUGGGAUUAGCUAGUUGGUGGGGUAACGGCUAACAAAGGCGACGAUCCCUAGCUGGUCUGAGAGGAUGACCAGCCACACGGGAAGUGAGACACGGGCCAGACGCCUACGGGAGGCAGCAGUGGGGAAUAUUGGACAAUGGGCGCAAGCCUGAUGCAGCCAUGCCGCGUGUAUGAAGAAGGCCUUCGGGUUGUAAAGUACUUUAAGCGGGGAAGCGUUACCCGCAGAAGAAGCACCGGCUAACUCCGUGCCAGCAGCCGCGGUAAUUC